AGGGCUAUAGCUCAGUUGGUAGAGCACCUCGUUUACACGACGGUUCGAGUCCGUAUAGCCCUA
rnacentral:tRNA from 1 species